rnacentral:piRNA from 1 species
AACACAAAGAAUGGACAGCAAGUCAAAAA